AACCAGACUAUGAAAUCACUACAGUACCAGAUAACGAAGAUGUAGACAUACGAAACAAAGCGUAUUAUGAAAAACGCAAAAAACAGGCCCUAAGCUGUAAAGGCAACGAACACGUGACGUUCAAGAUGGAUAAAAUCGGCAGACCGGAUUGUCAAUUUUGUACGUGUAACGGUGAAGGAAUAUUGCUAUGCUCCAGUGUCCCGUGCUCGGAUGGUGGUUUAGAUGUUGGGGAGCGACAUGAAAGAUUAUUGCACAACUCUGAUAGCACGCUCAGUCUGAUCUUGCGCGAAUACGCGACUGACUGUAAGCCAGGGGCAACCGUGCACGCUCAACAAUGUACUUGUUCGUGCGUCCUUCCGAGCGUCAUGUCUUGCCCGAAAGAAUGUUUCUACGCGGGCACCGACGACGCUACCGCCGCUAGUGACGUCAUAGGUUACGGGAUGACAAUUAUUUAGGAAGAAGAAGUGUUUAAUGGUGUCCACGGAAA